UCCAAAGUCUCUAAUAAGUUUAUAUAUAUAUUUGUAACGACCCAGCCCACUAGCGACAAUAACUCGCUGGGCCCAACCAUAGCCCAAAAUGCUUAAGCCUAGUUAUUAUUAUUAGUGUCUAAGUCUCUUAUAAAGACAAUGACAAUCUCAUUCCCAUCCGAUAUGAGACUAUUAGGGUGUCACAGACUCCUCCCGUUAAGGUCCUGACGUCCUCGUAAGUCCAAUCACACAUACAGCCCAAGAUCACCAGGCGAUGUGAGACUCGUCUCGCUAGCCCGUCAUCCAGACCAUGGCUCAGCCGAGACUCACCACACAUGUCCAGCUGGUGAACCGGCUCUGAUACCAAAUGUAAUGACCCAGCCCACUAGCAACAAUAACUCGUUGGGCCCAACAACCGGCCCAAAAUGCUUAAGCUCAGUUAUUAUUAUUAGUGUCUAAGUCUAUUAUAAACACAAUGACAACCCCAUUCCCAUCCGAUGUGGGAUUAUUGGGGUGUCACAGACUUCCUCCGUUAAGGCCCUGAUGUCCUCGUCAGUCCAAUCACACACACAGCCCAAGAUCACCAGGCGAUGUGAAACUCGUCUCGCUAGCCCGUCAUCCAGACCCUGGCUCAGCCGAGACUCGCCACACAUGUCAAGCUGGUGAACCGGCUCUGAUACCUAAUGUAACGACCCAGCCCACUAGCAACAAUAACUCGUUGGGCCCAACCAUAGCCCAAAAUUGUUAAGCCCAGUUAUUAUUACUAGUGUCUAAGUCUCUUAUAAAUACAAUGACAAUCACAUUUCCAUCCGAUGUAGGACUAUUAGGGUGUCACAGACUCCCCCCGUUAAGGUCCUGACGUCCUCGUCAGUCCAAUCACACACACAGCCCAAGAUCACCAGGCGAUGUGAGACUCGUCUCGCUAGCCCGUCAUCCAGACCCUCGCUCAGCCGAGACUCGCCACACAUGUCCAGCUGGUGAACCGGCUUUGAUACCACUUUAAUCUGUCACGCCCCGGGGUCCCUUUUUAGUUUAAAGUAUAGCGGAAAAGCGUCUGAAAUUUUUUUUUGAAAACCUAACCCCAGAGUAUGCCAGAUCCGCCACAAAUACAGGAGAUCCACUGUUCACACAGACAGAGUCUCCCCUGUAUUUGCACGGCGUCAUACAAGUACAGAGUUCAAACAUGAUACAACCAUAACCAGAUGAGCAUACAAAUAACCAACAGUUAUACAUUCCUACACCAUUCACCACAGUUUCACAUUUAUACAUUCAAUAUUUAAAAAUAAAUCCACAUCUAUCAGUUAAAAUGUUUCCAACCACAGAAAUAGGUUUUGAAAUACUAAGAUACAGAAUCCACAGAAAACUUUUUGAAAACUGUUCCCUAUACAGGAACUUUUAUCUUUUAAAAACGUUACCACGAGGGGUAGAAAUCCAUUCAACAUUUGAAAUCCACAAAUUCCCUUUUUUUUU
rnacentral:lncRNA from 1 species